AGCGUAUAUUAAAGUUGUUGCAGUUAAAAAGCUCGUAGUUGAAUUUCGGGGUCAGUAGGUUGGUCGUGCCACUGGUAUGUACUGAUCUCACUGAUUCCUCCUUCCUGAUGAGCUGUAAUGCCAUUAAUUUGGUGUUGCAGGGAAUCUGGACUGUUACUUUGAAAAAAUUAGAGUGUUUAAAGCAGGCUAACGCUUGAAUACAUUAGCAUGGAAUAAUGAAAUAGGACGUUCGAUCCUAUUUUGUUGGUUUCUAGGAUUGACGUAAUGAUUAAUAGGGACAGUUGGGGGCAUUAGUAUUCAAUUGUCAGAGGUGAAAUUCUUGGAUUUAUUGAAGACUAACUACUGCGAAAGCAUUUGCCAAGGAUGUUUUCAUUAAUCAAGAACGAAAGUUAGGGGAUCGAAGACGAUCAGAUACCGUCGUAGUCUUAACCAUAAACUAUGCCGACUAGGGAUCGGAUGAUGUUAAUUUUUUAAUGACUC
rnacentral:rRNA from 1 species